UAUAAAAUAUAUAUAUUCCUGA
rnacentral:miRNA from 1 species